AGAGUUUGAUCAUGGCUCAGGACGAACGCUGGCGGCGUGCUUAACACAUGCAAGUCGAACGAGAUCCUUCGGGGUCUAGUGGCGAACGGGUGAGUAACACGUGAGCAACCUGCCCCUGGCUCUGGGAUAGCCUCCGGAAACGGGGAUUAAUACCGGACAUGACCUUCCGCCGCAUGGCGGGGGGUGGAAAGUUUUUUCGGCCGGGGAGGGGCUCGCAGCCUAUCAGCUUGUUGGGGGGGUAACGGCCCACCAAGGCGACGACGGGUAGCCGGCCUGAGAGGGCGACCGGCCACACUGGGACUGAGACACGGCCCAGACUCCUACGGGAGGCAGCAGUGGGGAAUAUUGCACAAUGGGCGCAAGCCUGAUGCAGCGACGCCGCGUGCGGGAUGAAGGCCUUCGGGUUGUAAACCGCUUUCAGCAGGGGCGAAUGUGACGGUACCUGCAGAAGAAGCGCCGGCUAACUACGUGCCAGCAGCCGCGGUAAUACGUAGGGCGCGAGCGUUGUCCGGAAUUAUUGGGCGUAAAGAGCUCGUAGGCGGCCUGUUGCGUCCGCUGUGAAAUCCCAGGGCUCAACCCUGGGCGUGCAGUGGAUACGGGCGGGCUGGAGGCAGGCAGGGGAGAACGGAAUUCCCGGUGUAGCGGUGAAAUGCGCAGAUAUCGGGAGGAACACCGGUGGCGAAGGCGGUUCUCUGGGCCUGUUCUGACGCUGAGGAGCGAAAGCGUGGGGAGCGAACAGGAUUAGAUACCCCCGUAGUCC
rnacentral:rRNA from 1 species